rnacentral:rRNA from 1 species
AUACGGAGGGUGCAAGCGUUACUCGGAAUCACUGGGCGUAAAGCGCGCGCAGGCGGGCUGAUGAGUUGGAUGUGAAAGCCUACGGCUCAACCGUAGAACUGCAUCCAAAACUGUCAGUCUAGAGUCUGAGAGGGGAAGAUGGAAUUAGUUGUGUAGGGGUAAAAUCCGUAGAGAUAACUAGGAAUACCAAAAGCGAAGGCGAUCUUCUGGAACAGUACUGACGCUGAGGCGCGAAAGCGUGGGGAGCAAACAGGAUUAGAUACCCCGGUAGUCC